rnacentral:rRNA from 1 species
GAUGAACGCUAGCGGCAGGCUUAAUACAUGCAAGUCGAACGGGAUUGAGAAGCUUGCUUUUCAUGAGAGUGGCGCACGGGUGCGUAACACGUAUGCAACCUGCCUUGUCCAGGGGGAUAGCCCGUUGAAAGACGGAUUAAGACCGCAUAACAUCAUUGAAUGGCAUCGUUUAAUGAUCAAAUAUUUAUAGGGACAAGAUGGGCAUGCGUCUGAUUAGCUAGUUGGCGGGGUAAUGGCCCACCAAGGCGACGAUCAGUAGGGGAUCUGAGAGGAUGACCCCCCACACUGGUACUGAGACACGGACCAGACUCCUACGGGAGGCAGCAGUAAGGAAUAUUGGUCAAUGGGCGCAAGCCUGAACCAGCCAUGCCGCGUGCAGGAAGACGGCCCUACGGGUUGUAAACUGCUUUUAUACGGGAAUAACCCCGGUUUCGUGAAACCGGCUGAAUGUACCGUAAGAAUAAGGAUCGGCUAACUCCGUGCCAGCAGCCGCCGCAG